UGCAGCAGUAAGCUUCUUCAUUCUUUUGGCCUCUUUAAACAUCUCUAGAUCUCAGAGUUCUCAUUCCAUACCUCUUGGGAAUAUUAACUUGGAUUUUCAAGUUCAACUUAUUUAAAAGGUUUUGUCCUUUCCAGAAUGGUCUUCCUUCAUGUUUCUCUUUUAUUAAUCCUUCUUUAAAAUUUUUUAUUACUCAAUGAAUUUAUUACAUUUAUAGUUGUAAAAUGAUCAUCACAAUCCAAUUUUAUAGGAUUUCCAUCCCACAACCCCAGCGCAUCCCCCACCCCCUGAACUGUCUCCUUUGGAACCCAUAAGUUUUUCAAAGUCUGUGAGUCAGUAUCUGUUCUGCAAAGAAGUUCACUGUGCCCUUUUUUCAGAUUCCACAUGUCAGUGAUAGCAUUUGAUGUUGGUGUCUCAUUGUCUGACUGACUUCACUUAGCAUGAUAAUUUCUAGGUCCAUCCAUGUUGCUAAAAUGCUGCUAUUUCAUUCCUUUCAAUGGCUGAGUAAUAUUCCAUUGUGUAUAUGUACCACCUCUUCUUAAUCCACUCCUCUGUCGAUGGACAUGUAGGUUGUUUCCAUGUCUUGGCUAUUGCAAAUAGUGCUGCAAUGAACAUUGGAGUACAUGUGUCUUUGUGAGUUUUUUUCUUGUUGUUUAUUUCCAGUUGUAUAGCAUUGUGGUCAGAAAAGAUGCUUGAUAUGAUUUCAAUUUUCUUAAUGUUACCGAGGUUGGAUUUGUAGCCCAGGAUGUGAUCAAUCUUAGAGAAUGUUCCAUGUGCACUUGAGAAGAAUGUGUGUUCUGUUGCUUUUGGAUGGAAUGUCCUAUAAAUACCUAUUAAGUCCAUCUGGUCUAAUGCUUCAUUCAGGGCCUGUGUUUCCUCAUUGAUUUUCUGUCUGGAUGAUCUGUCCAUUGCUGUAAAUGGGGUGUUAAAGUCCUCCACUAUUACUGUGUUAUUGUCGAUUUCUCCUUUUCAGGUUGUUAGCAGUUGCCUUAUAUAUUGUGGUGAACCUGUGUUGGGUGUGUAGAUCUUUAAAAUUGUUAUAUCUUCUUGGAUUGAUCCUUUGAUCAUUCUGUAGUGACCUUCCUUGUCCCUUAAAAUAUUCUUCAUUUUGAAGUCUAUUUUGUCUGAUAUGAGUAUAGCUACUCCAGCUUUCCUUUGAUUCCUGUUUUGGCAUGAAAUAUUUUCUUCCAUCCUUUCACUUUCAGUGUGUGUGUCUCCCUAGAAGUGAAGUGGGUCUCUUGAAGAAAGCAUAUAUAUGGAGCUUUGUUUUGUAUCCAUUCAGCCAGUCUAUGUCUUUUGGUUGGGGCAUUUAGUCCAUUAACAUUUCAGGUAAUUAUUGAUAUGUAUGUUCUUAUUGCCAUUUUAUUAAUUGCUUUGGGUUUGCUUUUGCUGCUCUUUUUUCUUCCCUUCUUCUCUUGUUCUCUUCUCUUGUGGUUUGAUGACUAUCUUUAGAGUGGUAUUUGAGUUGAUUUUUCUUAUUUGUUUGUGUAUCAAUUGUAGAUUUUUGGUUUGCAGUUAUUCUGAAGUUUUGAUAUAAGAGUCUAUAUGUACAUGAGAUUGUUUUAAGUGGUUGAUCUCUUAAUUGCAAGUGCAUCUCCAGUGUCCUGCAUUUGUACCCACCUCUUCUCACGAUUUCUGAUUUUGGUGGCAUAAUUGUGCAUGGAUGACUUCUUAUCUUUCCUGUAUAUAUACCUUUACUGGUGAGCCUUGUCAUUUAUGGCAUUUUUGUUUCUGGUUGCAGCCUUUUCUUUUCUAUCUAGAGCAGUUCCUUUAGUAUUUGUUGUAAAGCUGGUUUAGUGUUGCUGAAUUCUGUUAGCUUUUGCUUAUCUGUGAAGCUUUUGUUUUCUCCUUGAAAUCUGAAUGAGAGCCUUGCUGGGUAAAGGAAUCUUGGUUGGAGGUUUUUUCCUUUCAUCACAUUAAGUAUAUCAUGCCACUCCCUUCUGGCCUGCAGAGUUUCUGCUGAAAAAUCUGCUGAUAACUGUAUCGGGGUUCCCUUGUAUGUUAUUUGUUACUUUUCCCUAGCUGCUUUCAAGAUUUUCUCUUUGUCUUUAAUUUUGGUCCAUUUGAUUAAUAUGUGUCUCAGGGUGUUCCUUCUUGGAUUUAUUUUAUAUGGUACUUGUUUUGCUUCCUGGAUUUGAGUGAAUGGUUCCUUUCCCAUGUUAGGGAAGUUUUCGGCUAUUAUCUCUUGGAAUAUUUUUUCUGUAUCUUUCUCUCUCUCUUCUCCUUCUGGCACCCGUAUAAUAUGGAUGUUGGAGUGUUUAACGUUGUCCCAGAGUUCUCUGAGACUCUCUUCAUUUGUUUUGAAUCUUUUUUUCUCUUUUCUGUUACUCAUCCAUGAUUUUCACUAAUCUGUCCUCCACUUCGCUUAUUCAUUCUUCUGCCUCCUGUAUUCCGCUGUUGGCUGCUUCUAGUGAAUUUGUUAUUUCAGUUAUUGUAUUUUGCAUCUCUUCUUGUUUAAGUUUUAUAUUUUGUAUCUCUUUGGUCAGUGUUUUCUGUAAGUUAUCCAUCUUUGUCUCCUGUUUAUUUCCAAUGUCUUGCAUCAUCUUCAGCAUUGGCAGUCUAUAAAGUCUUUUUCCUGAAGGCUGGGCAUCUCCUGAUCACUUAGCUGUUUUUCUGUUUUUUUUUUUUUUUUUCCUUUCUCCCUCAUCUGAGUUAUAGUUCUCUGUCUUUUCAUUUGUAUAGGUUUUUGGUGUGGUGACCUUUUUACAGAUAAUAGAGUUGUAACCUCUCUUCCUUCUGGUGUCUGCUCCCCUUGUGGCUGAAGUUGGUAUGGGGGCUUGCUGUAGGUUUCCUAAUGGGAGGGGCUGAUUCCUGCCCCCUGGUAGGUGGAGCUGAUUUUAAUCCCUCUGGUGGGUGGGGCUUAGUCUCUGGAUGGGAUUAGAGGCAGCUGUGUGCCUGGGGGGACUUUAGGUAGCCUGUUUACUGAGGGGUGGGGCUGUGAUCCCACCUGGGUUGUUGUUUGCCCUGGGGCUUCUCAGUGCUGUUGGGUGGGGCCAGAUUUUCCCAAAAAGGCCACCUCCAGAGAAAAGCAUGCUGGAUGCUGAAUAUUCCUGAGAGCUUGCCUUCAAUAUCCUUCCCUCACGACAAGCCACAUUCACCCCUGUUUUCCUAGGAGGUCCUCCAAGAACUGCAGUCAGGUUUGACCCAGAUUCCUAUGGAGACUUUGCUUUGCCCUAGGAGCCAGUGCAUGUGAAAGUCCUUGUGCACCUUUUAAGAAUGGGGUCUCUAUUUCCCCCAGUCCCGUGGAGUUCCUGCGCACAAGCGCCACUGGCCUUCAAUGCCAGAUGCUCUGGGGGCUCUUUCUCCCAGUGCCAGAUCCUGGCACAUGAGGGUUUGAUGUGGGGCUCAGAACUCUCAUUCCUGUAGGUGAGUCUCUGUGAACCAGUUACUUUCCAUUCUGUGGAGCUUUCCACCUGGGAGGUAUGGGGUUGCUUAUAUCACGUAAUUACCUCUCCCACCUCUUGAUGUGGCCUCCUCUUAGUCUUCUGGGGUAGGAUGUCUUUUUGAAGGUUUCUGGUCCCUUUGGUUGAAGAUUGCUCAGCACGUAGUUAUAAAAUUUGUUGUUUUUAGGAGAGCAGUUGAGCUCUAGUUCCUCUUAUUCUGCCAUCUUAAUCCCGUCUCCCCUAUUUAUCCUUCUUUUGCUCACCUAAACUAGUCUUGGAGGCACAUUGGUUUCUCUUUUUCCAUGAUCCAUCCGUGUCUAACCAGUCACUAUGUGUUUUUACUCUACAUCCAUAAAUUCUCUUCACUCUCCACCCUCCUUUUACUUUCUACUCUCACUAUCUCUCAGAUAUCAGUUUUUAAGACCUCACCCUUGGAUUGUAGCAGUAGCUAUCUUGCAGCAUUGAGAUAAUAACCUUUUCCUCAUUGCUGUAAGAGUUUUUCUUUCCCCUGAUAAAGUGGAAACCUAACUUUUGUGUUCUUUGGCUUUGGAAAUUUUGUGAGGAGGGAUGGAUAUGGAAAAAAGAGAAGUUUCUAGGCAGUGUCCAACCAGGAUUUUGUUUGCAAGAGCCUAAGCUCACUGAGGAGAAUUAUUUUGGAACUUUGCAGAGGGGUGGGUGAGAUAGAGGUGGACUAUUAAAUCUGGGAGGUAACAAUGGGCCAAGUCAAAGAGCAGGGAGGCUUUUUAGAGAAUUCCCUUUGAGACAAAGAAGAAUUUGUAGUUUGGUGAGUUCCUUGAAGUCAGAAAUACUAUUGUGCUCCCUCACAGUGGAGUUCCUGGGACCUCUGAUGGGUAACGCUGGGGUGAUGGGUGGGCCAAACCUUAAGAGCUAUUGCUCUAGGAUAGCAGGCAUUAAAAGUCCCAGUGCCCAUUAUUUCUGUCUUCUAGGAACUAUGCAGGUUUAGACAGUGAACUCAUCAGUUGUAACAGGGUAUUCUUAAGAGUAAAGCAUCUUUCCCUAAGUGCUUUAUACAUUGUAGAGCACCUUAGGAGUCUGUUUUGCCUUUGGGGAGGGAACAGGUAUUAACUAAGGUAUAAACUCAGCUGCUUGUAAUACAGAGACCUCAAAAUACAGAAGCCCAAACAAGCUAGAAAACUGAUUCCUCUUUCUUGUGAUAGUCCAGAAGCAAGUGAGUUGUCCAGGACUGGUAAGGAAUUCUGAACCACAAGGCCGUUUAGAAUUCCAUAUUCCUUCCAUUUGAGUACCUCGCUAUCUCCUAGAACAGUAUUUUAAAAUCUUAGGCAAUGGCCCCUUGGUGAAGUCUGGUGAAGUGUUUGGGCUCUGUCUCAAGAGAAAUUUUUCUAGAUGUAUAAAAAAUACAUAGAGGGAUUAUUGGGAAGUAUAUUAUAAAAAAAUCAAUUAUAAAAAUGCUAAAAAGACAACUUUAUGAUAUACUAAUACAUAUUCUUAUUAUUAAUUAUUAACAAGAACCAGUGGUAUGUCUAGUAAGUACUUUAGUUUCAAAAUAAUGGGUAGCAUAAAUUGAUGCUCAAUAACAUAAGCAUAAUAUUUCAUGAUACCUGAAUAAAUGUAUGAUAUGGAAAUAUCUAUGGUUUCUGAUAGUGACAAGGUCACAGAUUCUGUGAAUACUACCAUGGUUUGUUGCUUACAUUCAUAAUUAAAGAAAAUACUGAAUUUCAAUAGAGGUUAUUGAAAAUAAAGAUAUCUAUCAUGCUGAGUAAGGUGAGCCAGACAGAGAAGGACAGAUAUCAUGUGAUGUCACUAAUAUGUGGAAUCUAAAAAAGAAGUUUGCAUUAUGGCACAGAGGAAGUGAAUCUGACUAGUAUCUAUGAGGAUGUGGGUUCAAUCCCUGGCCUUGUUCAGUGGGUUGGGGAUCUGGCAUUGCUGUGAUCUGUGGUGUGGGUCACAGAUGCACCUCAGAUCUGGCUUGCUGUUACUGUGGCAUAGGCUGGCAGCUCUAGCUCCAAUUUGAUCCAUAGCCUGGGAACUUCCAUGUGCAGCAGGUGCAGCCC
rnacentral:lncRNA from 1 species